AGAGUUUGAUCCUGGCUCAGAACGAACGCUGGCGGCGCGUCUUAAGCAUGCAAGUCGAACGGCAAGAUUAAUGCUUGCAUUAAUCCUAGAGUGGCGGACUGGUGAGUAACACGUGGGUGACGUACCCUUUAGAUUGGGAUAGCUCCUAGAAAUAGGAGAUAAUACCGAAUACGGUCUGUAAAGUUAGAGGUUACAGAGGAAAGGUUCUUUAGAAUCGCUGAAGGAACGGCCCGCGCACUAUUAGCUAGUUGGUGAGGUAACGGCUCACCAAGGCGAUGAUAGUUACCCGGCCUAAGAGGGUGAACGGGCACAUUGGGACUGAGAUACGGCCCAGACUCCUACGGGAGGCAGCAGCUAAGAAUAUUCCGCAAUGGACGAAAGUCUGACGGAGCGACGCCGCGUGGAUGAAGAAGGUCGGAAGAUUGUAAAAUCCUUUUAAGCAUGAGGAAUAAGGGUGAAGAGAGAAACUUCAUUUGGUGACUGUAGUGCUUGAAUAAGCAACGGCUAAUUACGUGCCAGCAGCCGCGGUAACACGUAAGUUGCGAGCGUUGUUCGGAAUUAUUGGGCGUAAAGGGCAUGUAGGCGGUUCUGCAAGCUUGGUGUGAAAUACUGGAGCUUAACUCCAGAAUUGCGUUGAGAACUGCAUAACUAGAGUGACUGAGGGGCAAUCAGAAUUCCUGGUGUAGGGGUGAAAUCUGUAGAUAUCAGGAAGAAUACCGAUGGCGAAGGCAGGUUGCCAGCAGAUGACUGACGCUGAGGUGCGAAGGUGCGGGGAGCGAACAGGAUUAGAUACCCUGGUAGUCCGCACAGUCAACUAUGUACACUGGGAUGUCUUGCCCCAAUAGGGUGGGUGUUGAAGGCAAAACCCGAUAAGUGGCCCGCCUGGGGGAGUAUGCCCGCAAGGGGUGAAAACUCAAAAGGAAAUUGACGGGGGCCGGCACAGGCGGUGGGCCAUGGGUUAAAUUCGAUGGUACGGGAGGAACCUUACCUGGGUUUGACAUACAUACCGAUUAGGUAGAGAUACGUGAGCGCAGCAAUGCGGGGUAUGAAACAGGUGCUGCAUGGCUGUCGUCAGCUCGUGCCGUGAGGUGUUGGGUUAAGUCCCGCAACGAGCGCAACCCCUAUCUUCAGUAGCCAGCAGGUUAAGCUGGGCACUCUGGAGAGACUGCCAGGGAUAACCUGGAGGAAGGUGGGGACGACGUCAAAUCAUCAUGCCCCUUAUGAUCUGGGCGACACACGUGCUACAAUGGCGGUCACAAAGUGAAGCAAACCCGCGAGGGGGAGCAAACCACAAAAAGGCCGUCCCAGUUCGGACUGUAGUCUGCAACCCGACUACACGAAGCUGGAAUAGCUAGUAAUCGCGAAUCAGAAUGUCGCGGUGAA
rnacentral:rRNA from 1 species